AGCUUUGCGCAGUGGCAGUAUUGUAGCCAAUGAGGUUUAUCCGAGGCGCGAUUAUUGCUAAUUGUCAUAGACCAUCUACAAAUUGACAUUUUCAAGCUGGUUUUGGUUAACUUACUUAAUGUUGGAAACUGGAACUUUCCA